UUGAACGCUGGCGGCAGGCCUAACACAUGCAAGUCGAGCGGAUGAAGGGAGCUUGCUCCUGGAUUCAGCGGCGGACGGGUGAGUAAUGCCUAGGAAUCUGCCUGGUAGUGGGGGAUAACGUCCGGAAACGGGCGCUAAUACCGCAUACGUCCUGAGGGAGAAAGUGGGGGUUCUUCGGACCUCACGCUAUCAGAUGAGCCUAGGUCGGAUUAGCUAGUUGGUGGGGUAAAGGCCUACCAAGGCGACGAUCCGUAACUGGUCUGCGAGGAUGAUCAGUCACACUGGAACUGAGACACGGUCCAGACUCCUACGGGAGGCAGCAGUGGGGAAUAUUGGACAAUGGGCGAAAGCCUGAUCCAGCCAUGCCGCGUGUGUGAAGAAGGUCUUCGGAUUGUAAAGCACUUUAAGUUGGGAGGAAGGGCAGUAAGUUAAUACCUUGCUGUUUUGACGUUACCAACAGAAUAAGCACCGGCUAACUUCGUG
rnacentral:rRNA from 1 species